GAGGGAUUCACAGUUGAGUCGGCUGACAAAGAGACUGAAAUACGUCACUCCCGACGCUGGAAUGAGCUGUGUGUUCCAGUCAGAGGAGUCAGAGGACCAUCUGACUUUCUCUGAAGAUUCAGUUGGACCAACCAGAGAGCUCGCCCAGCUCUCGAUCAGUGAGCCCCCAAUCAGACAGCUUCAACAGCAAGUCUGCCGAGG